rnacentral:ncRNA from 1 species
UCGGGCAACGCGGACGCCCGGUUAGACGACUUCCGUCCAAGCUCCGC